UUUUCGGACGACNCGCUGGCGGCAGGCUUAACACAUGACCAGUCGAACGCCCCGCAAGGGGAGUGGCAGACGGGUGAGUAACGCGUGGGAACAUACCCUUUCCUGCGGAAUAGCUCCGGGAAACUGGAAUUAAUACCGCAUACGCCCUACGGGGGAAAGAUUUAUCGGGGAAGGAUUGGCCCGCGUUGGAUUAGCUAGUUGGUGGGGUAAAGGCCUACCAAGGCGACGAUCCAUAGCUGGUCUGAGAGGAUGAUCAGCCACAUUGGGACUGAGACACGGCCCAAACUCCUACGGGAGGCAGCAGUGGGGAAUAUUGGACAAUGGGCGCAAGCCUGAUCCAGCCAUGCCGCGUGAGUGAUGAAGGCCUUAGGGUUGUAAAGCUCUUUCACCGGAGAAGAUAAUGACGGUAUCCGGAGAAGAAGCCCCGGCUAACUUCGUGCCAGCAGCCGCGGUAAUACGAAGGGGGCUAGCGUUGUUCGGAAUUACUGGGCGUAAAGCGCACGUAGGCGGAUAUUUAAGUCAGGGGUGAAAUCCCAGAGCUCAACUCUGGAACUGCCUUUGAUACUGGGUAUCUUGAGUAUGGAAGAGGUAAGUGGAAUUCCGAGUGUCGAGGUGAAAUUCGUAGAUAUUCGGAGGAACACCAGUGGCGAAGGCGGCUUACUGGUCCAUUACUGACCU
rnacentral:rRNA from 1 species